CCUACGGGUGGCAGCAGUGAGGAAUAUUGGUCAAUGGACGCAAGUCUGAACCAGCCAUGCCGCGUGCAGGAAGACGGCUCUAUGAGUUGUAAACUGCUUUUGUACGAGGGUAAACGCAGAUACGCGUAUCUGUAUGAAAGUAUCGUACGAAUAAGGCUCGGCUAACUCCGUGCCAGCAGCCGCGGUAAUACGGAGGAUUCAAGCGUUAACCGGAUUUAUUGGGUUUAAAGGGUGCGUAGGCGGUAGGAUAAGUUAGAGGUGAAAUUCUGAGGCUCAACUUCGGAAUUGCCUCUGAUACUGUGCGGCUAGAGAGUAGUUGCGGUAGGCGGAAUGUAUGGUGUAGCGGUGAAAUGCUUAGAGAUCAUACAGAACACCGAUUGCGAAGGCAGCUUACCAAGCUACUACUGACGUUGAGGCACGAAAGCGUGGGGAGCAAACAGGAUUAGAUACCCUUGUAGUC
rnacentral:rRNA from 1 species